UAAUCUAUUCAUUAGGUAGUAAAAUUUAUUAAAACCUAUAUACUCUGGCGGUCAUAACAAUUUUGAGGAACUCGUUGAAUAACCGUCAUCACCCGAUAAAUCUCACUUUUUAAUAAAGCUUAUAUACCGCCGUUUCAAACUACACAUUUUAAUUGUAAUUAUACAAAUAAAAAAAUCAGGUCAAGGUGUAGCUUUUAUAAAAGGAUCAAUAAGUUACAUUAAAUUAAAUUUUAGGAUUUUUUUUUAAAUAAACAAUAAAAGAGAAUCUAAAUUCACAAAUAAAAUAAUAAUUUUUUUAGAAACAAAACCAUAUGAUGC
rnacentral:rRNA from 1 species